GAAUAUUAGUCAAUGCUCGAAAGAGUGAACUAGCUAACUGAAAUCAAUUAAAAAUUGAUAACAUAAGGGAAAAUAAUGAUAAUACCUUAUUAUUAGUGUCGUCCAAAACUGGUGCCAGAAGACUCGGUAAGGCCAGAGACACAAACGUUAAUCGUCUUAAUCAGGCGUAAAGGGUUUGUAGGCGGCUUUUAAUUUAUUAAUUUAAAUUAAUAAAUUAAUAAAGAAUAAAAGCUAGAAUCAAAUAGAGGAUAUAUUAAAUAAUGCUUAGAGUAGGGUCGAUAUCCAUAGAUACUAAGUAGAAUAUUAAAGGCGAAAGCUUUUUUCCAUAAAUGAUUGACGCUCAGAAACGAAGGUGAGGAUAGGAAAUAGGAUUAGAUACCCAAAAUACCCCUCUCUGUCAACGAUGAAUGGUAAUUAUUAAUAAAAAUUAUUAAUGGUAAUAUUAACAUGAUAACCAUUCCGCCUUGUGAGUACAACUGCAAAGUAGAAAACAAAAAAAUUAGUCGGUUUCGGAGCAAACGAAGUGAAGCAUGUUAUUUAAUUC
rnacentral:rRNA from 1 species